rnacentral:lncRNA from 1 species
GGAUGAUCAACUAGGUCUACUGUUAGUUUUAGAGCAGGUGGAAUUUAUUUAGGUUCUCCCAUUGGGUUAAGAUAGUUGACGUGGGUUAGAAUUAAACUAAAAGAAAAUUCAUUUUUCAGCUAGAGGAAGGCUACUUCCACCAUUAAUCCUGCUGUUACCUAUUAUUCAAAGCUACCUUUUUAGCUACAAAUUUACCUACAUGUGGAAUAAUAAAUGCAGAACAGGACUAUGUCUUACCACAAGCAAAGUCUUGAUAGUUUUAGAACUGAAAUCAGAGCCAUCCAUUUGGCACUGAUCAAGAAGCACAUCCAAGAAAUCAUUCAUGCUGGUGGUGGAAUUGGAGGCUUUAAGUUUCAUGCGUUCAUGGAUGAUCCCAUCAAGUAUCUCAUGGAGUCUUUUGUAGGAUGGAACGGUGCCCCGCUUCACACCUUGCAAGUCCAAACUCCGGAAUAUGGGAAAAUAAUCUGAAAUGUUGGGCUUCCCAACACCCUCCAUAAUUCUCCACAUCAGCUCCCUGAACUCCUGAGCUGACUCGAAUCUUAGAUCAACAAGGUCAAUGGAGAACAUGGUGUUUGACAUCAAGUUCAAGAUGGUGGCUGAGGCGAGAUCGGUAAUGUAUACCGGUGUUCCCAAAACACAGUGUUUUGUGAUGUGUUGGAGGAGUUGGUCCACUUUUUUCUGCCGCAGGUGUUGGAGUGAGUCGAGUCUUUGAGUAGUGAACAAGUGAGAAGCGCAAACUCUGCGGCGGUUGUGCCACACAUGGUCACCAGGGAUCCAAGCAAGUGUGUAUUCAAGAUUAGGCAUUGCCAUGAUAGCAUCAGGAACAGGAUGAUCCAAGAAGUUGUCAACAUGGUUUUGGAGGAUUGGUUUGGUUGUUUGAGGGAAGGAAGCGACCAUGGUGGUGAUAGAGCCGAGGCGGAGAGAGAUGAGAGGGUCGUGGGAUUCCGUGAAUUUUGCAAGUGAGUGGUGGGGUUUUUCAUCGAGUUGAAGCAGUGAACCCACGAUGGGAAGGCCAGUUGGACCAGGUGGUAGCUUUGCAGUGUAUGAUGGCAAGAGAAAGUGGUGGAGACAAAAACAGAAGAGUGUGAAGCAAAGCAGGAGCACGACGAUUUGAAGUUCUAUCUCACUGACUUUUAGACUCUUCUUCCUUCCCUCUUUUGUGUUUGAGUUCCUUUGUAUAUACUAGUGGUAUGAUACUUAACUUGUGAUUCAUAUGGGUAGUGUGAUCCGCACGAGUGAUGUAUGUUAAUGCAUAGACUUUGGAUUUAAGUAUUUAAUCAUGUAUUAAUAUAUGAAACCAAAAAUUUUAAAAUCUUAUUUUAAAGCCUUAUUUUAAAUCAUAUAUGUAUACAUGUUUUCUUGAAAGUUUCACCUAUGAAGUCUAUAAUAAGAUUUGGAAGAAAAGAGAAACUCAGUCCUUGUUUUGUGGGACCAUUUGAGGUAUUAGGAAGAGUAGGCACUUUGGCUUAUAAAGUGGCCUUGACCCCUAGUCUAUCUAAGAUUCAUAAUGUAUUCCAUGUUUCAACUUUGAGGAAAUACAUUUAUGACCCCUCUCAUGUUGUGGAGUUGGAGCCUAUUCAAAUUUCUGAGGACUUGACCUAUGAAGAGGUGCACAUUCAAAUUGUGGAUGUGAUGGAUAAGGUACUACGACAUGUUGUUGUCAAGUUGGUAAAGGUCCAAUGGAGCAAUCAUAGUAUCUGAGAGCCCACUUGGGAGUUAGAAGAAGAGAUUGGAGAAAAACAUCCUCAAUUAUUUCAAGACUCAAGUAUGUCAAGUUUAGAGGACUAAACUUCUGUUAAGGAGGGGAGGAUGUAACGCCCAAGUUUCUUUUUAGGAAAAUAUUAUUAAUAAUAAUAUUAAAUUAAUUAAUUAAUUAAUUUAAUAAAUUGGAAGAUGGGUGAAAAGGUAAUUUUACGAAUAAAUACCCUAGGUAUAAAUUAGAAUUCUGUUCUUCCUGUUCUCUUAUGAAUCGUAUUCCUGUUCACAGAGAGUUCCUAAGAACGUAUGAUUUGAGUCGGAUUUCAGGGUUUGAAGAACAGAUCUCUAUAGGUAAGAUUCUAACUCCUAGAUUAAUAUUUUAGAUUCAUUAGUUAAUUUUAAGCACAUUAUAUAUAUUUUUUGGAAAACCCAAAUCUAGAUUAGGGUUAGUUUUUUUUUAAUUUGUUAUAAUAUCAAAAUAGUGAAAAUUUAAGAUUUUGAUUUAUUGUUGGAAAUUGGGAAAUCUUAAGUUUUUAGAUGAAAAAAAAAUUUAUUUGGAAGAUUUUGAUUUAGAAUAGGGUUAAUUUAUUUAAAAUAAAUAUAUUGUUAAUUGUGGCUUAAGGGAUUAGAAAAAUAUUAAAACAAUUUGAUUUAAAAAAAAAAAAAAAGAACGCAUGUGCAUUGGAAAAUAGAAGAAUGGUGAAGAAAAAAAAAACAAAGGAGAACGCGUGUGCAUUGGAAAAUAGAAUAAUUAUGGAAAAAAAAAUGGUUGCCUGCGUGUGGGAACUGGUUAGUUUUAGGCUAAGAAAUAAGAUAUAGUAAUAAUGGUUUAAUGUAAUAAAUAGAAUGAGGUAAUUGUAGGGGGUGCAAUCCAUGUGUGCUGAAAGCAUGACUCAAAAAGUAUGCCAGCCUAAGAAAUAAAAAAUAAAUAAAUAAAGCUUGAAAUAGCCAAGACAUUGUUACUACUUAAAUAACUAAUGAACUCCAAAGAAACUUCUCUUACAUGUAGAAUCGUCAACAAUAUAUAUAUAGUUGACCUUUACAUUUCUUGGUGGGGAAUGUAAUUGAUUUGGACCCCAGCCUCUAGGGGUUUGGUUAGAGGUUUCUAAUACUAGUAAUGUUUGGUUCUGUCCACCUUAAAGGAACAAUUUGAGGCUAGCCACCUAUUUGAAAAGUCCCACCUAACUGGGCACCAUUUGAUGUUUGAUGACCAGAAUAAAUAAAUGAUUUGAAUGUUUUGACUGAAUUUGAUAUGAAAAUGUUUGAAUCAGAAAUGAAAGUGUCCAUUUAAAAGUUUUGAAUGUAUUGGCAAAACUGACUCAAAAGUUUAUGAAAAUAAUUAGUUAUAAUAUCUCCUAUUUUGCAAGUGAACUUGAAAUAUUUGAUCUAUGGGCUGCAUUAAUGUUCCUUAUUGGGCUUUUAGCUCAUUCCCCUUUGUUGAUAAUUUUUUCAGGUACCCUUAGUUCGGGCGAGGAGUGAUGGCUAGGCCGGGGAAUGGUCAUCAUUAGGAUUUUGCUUAGGAUAUUAUUUUUGGACAUUUUUAGUUUAUAAGUUUAUGUUCAUUUGGACUAUUUGGUUUUUUGGGAGCUAUUUAGAUAUUGGACUUUUAAUUUUUAUUUUUUUUAUUUUUUAUGAUAGAUUGAAAUUGGGUUUUGGAGAUUAUGGAAAUUUUUGUUAGCACUUGAAUUGUUUGAGUUUGCAAUCUAUUUGGAUAAUGGAUUCUUGGUUGAUGAAUACUUAGUUUAAAGUUAAGUUUUGAACAUUUUAGAAUUUUGUUCCGCUACUCUUAACAAGUAUUUGGUAAUUGGUAACUUGCAGUUACAAGAUAAUUGUUUGGGUCAGGUUACACUUUAAGUCUUCGAGUUUGAGGUGUGAAAUGAUCAUCAUGCCCUUAGAGUGGGUCUUGGGGCGUGACUGAGUGGUAUCAGAGCCGAUCCCUGACCCUGGUGUGGGGGUUUGUUUGGCCCUGUAAGGGGUGUUUGUCUGUUUGGCCACGCAAUCCCAUGGGACACAACGAGGACGUUGUGUCUGCAUGGGGGGUGUUUAUGAUGUCCCACAUCGAAUAGGGGAGAAUGUUCUUGGCGCUAUAUAUGUAGAGACUCCUCUUAACCAAGUAGACGCAUUUUAAAGCCGUGAGGGUCCCUUUGAGUUCAAAGCGGACAAUAUCUACACGGUUGGGAACGGGUCAUUACAAAUGGUAUCAGAGCCGAUCCCUGACCUCGGUGUGGGGGUUUGUUUGGCCCCGUAAGGGGUGUUUGUCUAUUUGGCCCCACAAUCCCAUGGGACAUAACGAGGACGUUGUGUAUGCAUGGAGGGUGUUUGUGAUGUCCCACAUCGGAUAGGGGAGAAUGUUCCUGGCGCUAUAUAUGUAGAGGCUCCUCUUAACCAAGUAGACGCGUUUUAAAGCCGUUAAGGCCCCUUUGGGUUCAAAGCGGAUAAUAUCUACACAGUUGGGAGCAGGUCGUUAUGAUGUCUCACAUCGGAUAAGGGAGAAAGUUUAUGGCGUUAUAUAUAUAAAGACUCCUUUUAACCAAGUAAAUGUGUUUUAAAGCCGUGAGGGCCCCUUUGGGUCCAAAGCAGACAAUAUCUACAUGGUUGGGAGCGGGUCGUUACAAAUGGUAUCAGAGCCGAUCCCCAACCCCGGUAUGGGGGUUUGUUUGGCCCCGUAAGGGGUGUUUGUCUAUUUGGUCCCACAAUCCCGUGGGACACAAUGAUGACGUUGUGUUUGCAUGGGGGGUGUUUGUGACAUCCCACAUCGGAUAGGGGAGAAAGUUCUUGGCGUUAUAUAUGUAGAGGCUCCUUUUAACCAAGUAGACGCGUUUUAAAGCUAUGAGGGCCUCUUUGGGUCCAAAGCGGACAAUAUCUACAUGAUUGGGAGCGGGUCGUUACAAUUAUGGACUGGAAACACACAUUCACAUUAUUGAAGGGGUUGCUCAUGUAUCAUUAUGGUUGUUCAUGUUUCACAUCAAUGUUAAGGACCAACCAAUAAAAAGAAUUGACAAAUAAUGAAUUAUAUGUGAGGAAGGAAAUAGUGAUCUCUAACACAAAUAAGCCCAAUUCAACUGAACUUUUUGGCAUUCAAUUUAAGGAAUAAUAUUUUAUAGUAAAACGUAUUUCACAAAAAAUCAUAUUUUAAGGUAAACGGAUGAUGUUUCACCAACCAUGAUUUUUAUUUUAUUUUACUUUUUUUAUGACAAAAAAAAUGACCUUUUACGAUGAAUUUUUUUCUUAAAAUAAAAUAACAUGUGAUUAUAAACUUGUUUUAUGUUGAAAAAUGAUACGUUGUCACAAAAUUUAUUUUGUGGUGAAAAAUGACAUAUUACCACAAUUUUUAUUUUGUGGAAAAAUUAUUUAUUUUUCUUUAAUUCUAAAUGUUAUGAUUAAAAAUAAUUGCUCACGGACUUGUAGCAACGAACUGAUCAUAAAUAACUUUUUUAUGAAAAAAAUUCUUUUACCAUAAAAUACUCUCCAUUAAUCAUAAAUUAAUUUAUGGCAAAACCCCACAUUUGUUGUAAUGUCUCUUAAAAGAGAAUGACUACCAGUUUUACUCUACAUUUCCCACUCUCUACUUGUACAGGUCGCUAAUGGCCAGCCUUAACCUCCCUCAUUUAGAGCAGAAAGGGAGCUUAAAAAGGCAAGAAAAGAGAAAUCUGGAAGCAGCUGUGGAGAAGGCUGCCAGUCGCUAUAGAGAGACUUGGCGACUAGCAAAAUGUGAGGUAAACCUUUCAAAAAGUUUAAGGAAAAUACUGUAGAAACCACAUUAAACCCAAAAUAAGGGGUUAGAAAAACUAGGUGAAAUUAUGAAAUUACAACUUAAUAUUAAAUAGAAUCACUUAAGUUAAUUUAUACAAAAAAAUAUGUAACUAUUGAGUUUCUAUCACUACCAAGUGAAAAGCUUGACAAAUAUAUUCAACCUUUAGUUUACCAAUGGAAGGCUACGAGACCAUGACUUCAAUACAUAGGAUAUUUUGUUCAAAAGAAACAGAUAGAAUUAUGGAGAGCAUUUUUCUUCUAUGAAUGGAAUGGCGCAAAGGGGAACGACCUUUUUCAGGGUAACUCCAAACUGCUCCUUCAUGUCGAGGCUCUCCGGAGUGAUUCCCUGAGGAAGCUUCCAACUGAACGAAUGAAUAAUGGAAGCUAGUACUAAAUGAACCAUUCUUAGACCAAGGGAUAUGCCUGGGCAGAUUCGCUUACCUGCUCCAAAUGGUAGGUAUUCAAAAUCUUGACCUCUAAAAUCUAUGUUAGAACUCAAGAAUCUUUCAGGAAGGAAUGACAAUGGAUCCUCCCAGUAUCCUGGAUCUCUUGCAAUAGCCCAAAUAUUCACUAGAACAUGACUGUCCUUCGGUAUGGUGAAACCACAUAUUUCUAGGUCAUUCUUUGCCUUAUAUGGUAAGAGAAGAGGAGCAGGCGGAUGGAGUCUCAUUGUCUCUUUUACAACCGCUUGAAAAUAUGGCAGUCGAUCAAUAUCUGAUUCUUUUAUACUUUGCCCUGGGCUGAUUACCUCACUCAGCUCUAUUCGAACCUUUUGCAUCACAUGAGGAUUGCGAAGAAGUUCAGCCAUUGCCCACUCGAUUGUUACUGAAGAAGUAUCACUUCCACCAAAGACUAGUUCCUGUAAUUAUUUACAUAUAUGUUCAUUUUAAGAUGCCAACACAAAUCUAAUCACCUUAUCAAAAGGUAUACUGGAACUCUAUAACACUCCUAAAUAUAUAUUUAUGUAUAUUUGUAUGAAGGAAAUACAGAUCCCUAGCAAUUUCUUUCUUUCAAUGCUUCAAGUGGAACUGCAACUUGACAGUUGCGAGCAACAUAAACUUUAAGCCAUAAGCCAAGUUCAAGUUGACCUUUGAGCAGGAUUGGGUAAACAUAUUUGAAGUUGGGGAUGGUCUAGAGAUGACCCUUUCCAACCUUAGCUCAAAUUCAAGUUAGACUUAGGCUGAAGCAUUAGAGAAUUAGCCUUUGUCAAUAUGCAUGCAUAUAGUCUUAUUCAACAUUAUGCUACUUAAUUUAUAUUUUCCCUUAGCCUUCCACUUUAUCUCAUAGUUGGUUUAACUUCUUUCAUCCCAUUGUUUCUGGAUUCCUAACAUUCUCAAUUCGCAUGACUUCUCCAAAUCCCCUCCUUUAUUUUCACCUUAUCUGAAUUCGUCAUUCAUGUCAACUGUGCUAAAUCUUUAUGUGUGUGUCAAGGAUGAUCAACUAGGUCUAGUGUUAGUUUUAGAGCAGGCGGAAUUUAUUUAGGCUCUCCCAUUGGGUUAAGAUAGUUGGCGUAGGUCAGAAUUUAACAAGAAGAAGAUUCAUUUUUCAGGCAGAGGAAGGCUACUUCCACCAUUAAUCCUGAUGUUACCUACUGUUCAAAGCUACCUUUUUAGCUACAAAUUUACCUACAUAUGGAAUAAUAAAUGCAGAACAGGGCUAUGUCUUACCAC